AGUGCUCUGGAAGCAGUCAUAGCCUCCCAAAUCCACUUAAUCCCUUAAUUCCUGCCUCCUGGCGCGGCAGGAGCCCACACAGAAUGCCGGCCUCGGCUUCUACCCAACAGCAUCAGCAAAGACCUGAGCCCCUCGCAGCCACUCUGCUCUGAUCACGAGGCUGGGCUCCGACAUCCUCAAACCCUGAGGCCCCCGCCUUCAGAGGCAACGUUCUCCUGCGUGGCUGGAGUUUGCUGAUGCGAAAGUGAAGAAAUCCAAGCUGCCAUACCGUGAAGAAUCUCAGGCCGAACUCCAGAGUGAGAGAGGCCACAUGGAGGGAGGGCCAGCAAACAAGAAACCAGCCUGGACAUUCCUGCUCCAAGCAGCUCCUCACUGAACACAGCUGCCUACACAAUAAGGAGAAUCACCGUCACCAGUUGAUGGGGAUCUGGAGCUUUCCAGUUUUUGAAUAAUAUGGGUAAUUCUGCUGUGAAUAUCUGUAUACAAAGCCUUUGUGUGGACAUAUGUUUUCGUUUCUCCUGGAUAAAUUUCUAGCCAGUAAUACACCAAAUACUCUUAAAUAUAUCUUCAAACUGUCUUGAAUUCUUUGGAUGACUCACAGUCACACCUCUGAGACGCAGCGGCAGUCAGAAAGGUGUCCUGGCUUGGAAUAUAUGUCCAGCCUGCCUACUGGUCUGAAAGAAAUGCAGAAUAAUUCAGAAUGCCACUCUGCAGAAAGCUGUUUGAAAGACCACACUCCAGGAGUAUUCCAGCGUCCCCUAAACCGUGAGAACAAGGCCUUCUCUCAGAGACACUCGGGGUCUUUCUCAAUGGCAAUUUGACACCAAACUUGGGCUAACUAAAGCCUUCGUCUUUAUUCUACCUUAUCAAGAUUUGAGAAGAAUCUCAUGAUUAAGUAUACAUUCCAGGUUCAUCUCCCAGAAAAUUGAUUAGCUUGGUUUUAUUUUGUCUUCCUCCACGCAUUGGGCAAAGAUAUCCAGGAGAACAUGCUCAGGAUGGGGCAAGUCUGCGCUGGGUUGUUUUCUGGUCUUCUGUGCCAGUGAUACCUAACCACCCUCAGAAUCAUCCUCACUAAUGUGUUGGUGGGACAAAUAUUAAAAUAAAAUACUCUUCCAGGAGCCUGAUGAAGACAUUACCUUUGAUGGAGUGGACAGCUGGUUUUGUUACAAGUACCUGCUGGUCGAUCGGUGCUGCAGACGAUUCCAGCAUUCUAGUUACCCCAAGCCUUGGAGUCUUUCCAGCUGAGCAUUCCGACACCACGGAAUAGAAACAACCCAUCCCUACUGCGCCCUUUACAAAUUCCUGAUCCACAGAAUCUUGAGUGUAAUGUAGUGGUUGUUUUUUUAUGCCACCAAAUUUGGGGUGGUUUGUUAUGCAGCAAUAGAAAAAUGAUACAAUAAGCAAUAAGAUAGGCCAAUAUUUCUUACACCACUCUAAGAGAAACCCUCGUGUCUUGGGAGAUACCACUAAAUUUUCUGAGAAAAAAGUGAAGGCAGGGGUGGGAGUGGUAAUUCGGUGGUCACUUACACUGUGUCUCCUCCUUAAAG
ensembl:lncRNA